GAGUUUCUCUCUUGUUGCCCAGGUUGGAGUGCAAUGGCGUGAUCUCAGCUGACUGCAACCUCUGCCUCCCGGGUUCAAGCAAUUCUCCUGCCUCAGCCUCCCAAGUAGCUGGAAUUAUAGGCAUGUGCCACCAUGUGUGGCUAAUUUUUGUAUUUUUAGUAGAGACGGGGUUUCACCAUGUUGGCCAGGGUGGUCUUGAACUCCUAACCUCAGGUGAUCCACCUGCCUCGGCCUCCCAAAGUGCUGGGAUUAUAUAGGCAUGAACCACCGCACACGGCCUCUUUUUUUGUUUUAUCAUUAUUACUUUUUUUUUCUGUGAGACUGUCUCACUCUGUUGCCCAGGCUGGAGUGCAGUGUCGUAUUCUGGCUCACUGCAACCUCUGCUUUCCAAGUUCAAGUGAUUCUCAUGCCUCAGCCUCCGGAGUAGCUGGGACUACAGGUACCCACCACCACACCUGGCUAAUUUUUGUAUUUUUAGUAGAGACAGGGGUUUGCCAUGUUGGCCAGGUUGGUCUUGAACUCCUGACCUCAUGUGAUCCACACACCUCAGCCUCCCAAAGUGCUGGGAUUACAAGCAUGAGCUACCACGCCCAGCUAUUAUUAUUUUUGUAAAUAGAGAUGGAGAUCUUGCUAGGUUGCCCAGGCUGGUCUCAAACUCCUGAAUUCAAGUGUUCCUCCUGCCUCAGCCUCUCAAAAUAUUGGGAUGAUACCACGCCUGGUCCACAAAAUGUUCUGAAAGAUUCCAUUGUGACAUAGUAUUGUGCACUCAAACUGUCAUUCAAUAGACAAUGCAAUUAAAGGCAUAAGUAAUUAUUAAAUUCAAGCAAGAUCACAGAAUUUUCAAAGGUAAGACAGACUCAAAAGUCUGCGAAAACUUUUGGAGUUAUCUUCAGAAGAAGCUGUUUAAUUUCCAGCAAUAGGUAAUUCAAUUAAGAAGAAGAAAAAAAAACUAAGUAAGCAAAAAGGAAACGAAAGCAAAACCCCAGUAUUCUUCAAUAUACCUUAAAAUUAUACACACAAUCAUAAAGACAAUAUAGGUUAAGAUAAUUAACUAGCAUUAUGAAAAGCAGCCUGUUAUCAUGAUGUUGCAUUAACUAACCGAAGUAAUUCAGAAGAAUCCUAGAUUCUGAAUGUGAAUAAGGCUGAGACUCAAACUUUAUUGUGACAGACGAAAAUGGUAUACAAUUGAAUGAAUAAAUGUAUGCUAUUAUUAAUAAAAGCUUUAUGUUUACUUUCUUCCUGCUAAAAAAUUGCUACUAAAUAGAUGGCUUAUCUUAGAUUUAGUGGUAUUUCAGAAUUGAUAAAGUAUGAUAGUUCAACCUUAUUCCUUUAAAUACCGAUAUUGAAUUUCAUCAUGUAGAUGUACUAUUUUUUAUUUAUUUAUUAUUUCUUUAUUUCUUUAUUUAUUUUUGAGACAGUCUCACUCUGUCGCAGGCUGGAGUGCCGUGGUGCCAUCUCAGCUCGCUGCAACCUCCGUCUCUCCGGUUCAAGUGAUUCUCCUGCCUCAGCCUUACAAGUAGCUGGGACUACACACGCGCGCUACCACACCGAGCUAAUUUUUGUAUUUUUAGUAGAGAUGGGGUUUCACCAUGUUGGCCAGGCUGGUCUCGAACUCCAGACCUCAGGUAAUCCGCCCUCCUUGGCCUCCCAAAGUGCUGGUUACAGGCGUGAGCCACUGCGCCGGGCUAGAUGUACUAUUACUUAUAAAUCCCUGACUGAUGGACAUUUAGGUUGUUCCUCAUUUUUUUGCUAAUGUAAAAUAAUACUGCAAACUGGUAACUUCAAUUAUACUGGUAAUAUUCUUGUUCUGAGUUCAGGUGGUAAGUUCAUGGAUGUUCAUUUUAUUAUGCCUCAUAGUUUAAUAAAAUGAACAUGUGUAUAAUAUACAUAUAGCAUAUUCCUUGCACAUAACGAAAUUAGUUAAUAAAAAAAAUUGCUGCAAUAAAAAUUCUUGUGCACACAUUGCUGAGCAUUUUUCUUAAAAUAAAUUCCCAGAAGUGGAAUUGCUGGAUCAAAGAGAAUACAUAUUUAAAAUUCUGAUACUUAUUGUCAGAAUGCCUUCUAGAAAGUUAUACUAAUCUUAUAAUCCCCACAACAAGGUAUGGUUAAUACUGGCAUUACUAAAUCUCAACAAUCUUUGCUGCUAUGACAUGUGAAAAUUCAAAUUAUUACUAGGCAAAAAGAAUUUUUAAAAUAAUUCUUCAAAGCAAAACUGCUUACCUUUUUAACCCACACUACGAUGGGGCCAGAUUCGUCUUAAUAAACAAUUCUGAUCAUGUCACCUACCUACCCCAUAACUUUCAAUGACUUUAACCUCAUGGUUAAAGUAAGAGCUCUGGAAUCAAACUGCCUGGGUAUGACAGAUCGCCAUUUUUUUUUUUUUUAAAGUUCAGACCCUCAUCAAAAAUACAAACAUCAACAAACAAGUAUCAUUGAUUAGUUUGUCCAACUUAGGAAAAAAAAAAAUGAUACCAUUACAUAAGAUUUCAAAGUGUUAACUUGGGUUGAAUUAAGUUUAUCAGAAAGGUACCCUGGCUGGGUGCAGUAGUGCACCUGUAGUCCCAGCUACUUGAGAGGCUGUGGUGGGAGGAUUGCUCGAGUCCAGGAGUUGGAAUCCAGCGCAGGCAACAUAGCGAGUUCCCAUCUUUAAAGGAAACUGCAUACUGUCAUUUUCUUCAGUUCACUUUCUAAUAAUUGUCAGAUCAAAAGUGAAAGCAACGCUGUAUCUUCAUGCUGAAAAAUGAUUGCUGUUCCUACAUGGCGAAAAUGUUAUUCAAUGACUAAAUAACUUUUGUGAUGUAUAACAAUCUCCCAUUGAUGUAAAUAAAACAUCUAAAAUAACCAAAUAACCAGGGUUAGAACAGUUCCAAGACUAUUUAUAUAGAACAAGGACUUGCAAUAAAAACAAAACAAAAAUAAAAACGACCUACACAAUGAAAGCCAGAUAUUAUACAUUAAAAAUGCAGUAGAAGUAUUUUUUGGUGAGCAGCAAGGCAUAUUCCAUCAAUAUUUAGGCAUAGAAUGUGCCAUUCCAAGCAUGGACCAUGAUCUAGUUUCUUGCAGUAGCAGCCAAUUGGACUAACACAAUGCUACUUCUUUUACUGUUCAAUCAAAUUCCUCCACUGCCUUAGGGAAUCAACUACCCCAUUUUACCGUCAGAGAUAAGCUUUGUUUUCGUAGCACAGAACAUUCAUUCCAAUUAUAAUGUCCUACCUUUUCUUCCUCAUGGAGGAAAUUUGAUAAAAAAUUUUAACCUUCAAUAAAUAAUUCAUAAAGUUCAAACAAGUUUCAUGAUCGCUAACAUUCAAAUCCAUUUCCAAAACUGGAGUUAUACAAUAUUACUUCUGUGCAUGAGAUUAUACUUAUUGUUCACUAGAUUUAUGAAUAACUUCUGGAGGAUGAUACAUGUUUUAAAAGCCGUAUUAACAUAUGAGUUGACAAACAUUAAAUUUUGUUCCCUUAGAAAUUGACAGAGAAGUCAGAAUGGGGAUAAAUCAAGUCAUCUGAGAGGCAUUCAUUGAGCUACAAGCUAUUUCAGGUUAUAAAAAACACUGUUCCCUUAAUUGUCGUUCCUUCAUUUGCUGUAUUUAUAUACACACUCCUACUCCAUAAAGACCUCUCCAUCUCUCCCACCUCUUCCAACUAUGAACAGUAACCUAAAAUCACACUGAACUAGACGUAAGAGACUCCCAGGAUUUCUCUAAGGUAUACCCAGGAUCAAGGCCCUCUGGGAUCCAAAGAACUGUAGCUCUUUUACUGCAAUUUUCCUUCAGAACCACCUUUCCCGUUCCUUCCCUCCUGGACACCGCCGACUCGCGUGUUGGGGGUGGGGUGGGAGACAGGCCGCCAGAAAGACAGGCUCUACCCAGCCAAACCUGCACCUCCGAGGCCGAAAAGCCUGGGGCUCUUCCUGCAGCACCGGGCGCGGCCAACCCUCGCUUCCCCAGGGCAGGGCUCAGCUCGGGUCAAUGCAACCAGCCAAGUCAGGCCCGGAGCGGGCCGGCUCUGCCCGCCAGUCCAAACCUCUGGACCCUCGCCAGCGGGGAUGGGCGUGGGCCCCGGCGGCCACCGCCCCGCCAACUCGAGCACUGGAGGAGCGCACCCGCUACGCCAGCCCCGGACCUACCUGGAGGGGAGAGCAGAGCUCCUGGACAGCGGCCACGGGCCUGAGGGCGGACGCUGAGGCGGCCAGAGUCCGUCCCAGCAACCCCAAGUAUCCCUAGUGGGGCAGAGCGGGGAGACGAACGGGGGGGCUGCCGCGGGCCAGCGCGGCCCGUCCCAGGGGUCGCGAGGACCUGGCUCUCCCCUUAACACCAGGCCACCGCCGCCGCCGCCAUUUUGCCUUCCACUCAGUGUCGCCGCCGCCGCACUCCACUGCAGGUUUCCCGGAUGUGGGCAUUUCCCGGCGUCGCUUGCGCGGGGGCCGAGAACUGGGGGCUUUUGCCCGCCCGGCUGCUGCGAGGGAGCGCGCAGCCUGCGGCCUCCGGGCUUCGUUGCGUCGCCCGCAGCUCUGAUCGUUCGUGAGCGUCGCCCCACGUCGCUCCCGCCUGCCCCUGCCCAUACGACUCGCCCGCGCCCGUGGUUUAAGGCUGUCUCCCGCCCAGCCUACUUGGUUGAUUCAAUCCUUUUCCCCAUUGAUCUAUUUCUCUGGACCGAGUAGGGAUGUGCAUUUCACGGAGCUACGUUCUCAGAAGGGAACAACUGUGAGUUGCUCUGGGAAACCUCCCUGUGGACCUCAGAAUUCGAGAUUUUUGGCGCUUUGAAAUAAAAUUUUAUUCUUGCUUAGCGUUCUUUCCCCGAACAAGCCGGUGAGCUUCCAGCAUCUGUAUUUUCUGAAUCCGGCAGAUAAGAAAUGCUUGAGCCAGGACCGAUUGAUUAGCAGCGGUUUAGAGAUCUUAUCUGUCAACCGCAUCCGUAGAAGGAGGUCGUUAUUGCCAUAAUUGGAAUAACGGUGACGGUGUGACAAGAGGUUUUACUUCUGGUUAAGCUGAAUGUAAAGUGUGGGAUGGGAUCGUUGGGUUUGAUGUAUAAGGUACCGUCCACCCUUUGUGAAGAUCGCCUUUGCCAGUUUUUCCUCUAGGAAAUAUACAGUUAGUGUUUUCAAGUACCUUCUUUCGUAAUUUUUCUACUACAGAGUAUAAAAAAAUUAAAGACAUCUUUUUCUGACGUUAAA